UUAAGCCUACGGGACGCAGCAGUAGGGAAUCUUCCACAAUGGACGAAAGUCUGAUGGAGCAACACCGCGUGAGUGAAGAAGGGUUUCGGCUCGUAAAGCUCUGUUGGUAGUGAAGAAAGAUAGAGGUAGUAACUGGCCUUUAUUUGACGGUAAUUACUUAGAAAGUCACGGCUAACUACGUGCCAGCAGCCGCGGUAAUACGUAGGUGGCAAGCGUUGUCCGGAUUUAUUGGGCGUAAAGC
rnacentral:rRNA from 1 species